rnacentral:rRNA from 1 species
UACGAAGGGUGCAAGCGUUACUCGGAAUUACUGGGCGUAAAGCGUGCGUAGGUGGUUUGUUAAGUCUGUUGUGAAAGCCCCGGGCUCAACCUGGGAAUGGCAAUGGAUACUGGCAAGCUAGAGUGCGGUAGAGGGUAGUGGAAUUCCCGGUGUAGCGGUGAAAUGCGUAGAGAAUCGGGAGGAACACCAGUGGCGAAGGCGGGUCUCUGGGCCGAUACUGACGCUGAGGAGCGAAAGCGUGGGGAGCGAACAGG